rnacentral:rRNA from 1 species
CACAUGCAAGUCGAACGGUGAAGCAGGAGCUUGCUCCUGUGGAUCAGUGGCGAACGGGUGAGUAACACGUGAGAAAUCUGCCCUGGACUCUGGGAUAAGCGUUGGAAACGACGUCUAAUACCGGAUACGAGACGCGAAGGCAUCUUCAGCGUCUGGAAAGAACUUCGGUCCAGGAUGAUCUCGCGGCCUAUCAGCUAGUUGGUGAGGUAACGGCUCACCAAGGCGACGACGGGUAGCCGGCCUGAGAGGGUGACCGGCCACACUGGGACUGAGACACGGCCCAGACUCCUACGGGAGGCAGCAGUGGGGAAUAUUGCACAAUGGGCGCAAGCCUGAUGCAGCAACGCCGCGUGAGGGACGACGGCCUUCGGGUUGUAAACCUCUUUUAGUAGGGAAGAAGCGAAAGUGACGGUACCUGCAGAAAAAGCACCGGCUAACUACGUGCCAGCAGCCGCGGUAAUACGUAGGGUGCAAGCGUUAUCCGGAAUUAUUGGGCGUAAAGAGCUCGUAGGCGGUUUGUCGCGUCUGCUGUGAAAACCGGAGGCUCAACCUCCGGCCUGCAGUGGGUACGGGCAAACUAGAGUGCGGUAGGGGAGAUUGGAAUUCCUGGUGUAGCGGUGGAAUGCGCAGAUAUCAGGAGGAACACCGAUGGCGAAGGCAGAUCUCUGGGCCGUAACUGACGCUGAGGAGCGAAAGCGUGGGGAGCGAACAGGAUUAGAUACCCUGGUAGUCCACGCCGUAAACGUUGGGAACUAGAUGUGGGGGCCAUUCCACGGCUUCCGUGUCGCAGCUAACGCAUUAAGUUCCCCGCCUGGGGAGUACGGCCGCAAGGCUAAAACUCAAAGGAAUUGACGGGGGCCCGCACAAGCGGCGGAGCAUGCGGAUUAAUUCGAUGCAACGCGAAGAACCUUACCAAGGCUUGACAUAUACGAGA